GGGAGUUGAUUCGGAAGUGAAGGGCCCUGGGCGACCCGGCGAGUAGAGGCAACACCAACACUCCUCCUUAGCGAGGGGUCUCCCCGCCGCGGUGGCUGCCCGGCCCCAAGGACAGGAGGGAUUUGUGCACUGACUCCUGACCCCGUCCUCCAGCGCUGCUCUGAAGGGAGAGUCUGUGCAGUGGCACCUGCGCGAAGCUGGCCAAAGCCUGCCCAGACGGCUCACCUGUGCGGGAUGGAACAAAAGAAUUUCGCUCUUGUUGCCCACUGUUGUCCAGGCUGGAGUGCAAUGGCACGAUCUCAGCUCACCACAACCUCCGCCUCCUGGGUUCAAGUGAUUCUCCUACCUCAGCCUCCUGAGUAGCUGGGAUUACAGGUCGGCUUGAGGUUUGCGAGUCCCAGCUCCCACUGCCCCUGCCACCUGCCUUUCCCUUCUCAGGACAUACACAGGACUGGGAGAAAAUAGACUAAGUAUUUGAUAUUACA
rnacentral:lncRNA from 10 species